ACGGGGGCCAGCUCCGGAGAUCCUGUGCAGAGAGCUGUCUGGCCCUCCAGGAUCAGAGCCUCCUGAAGAAAGCAGUGUAAACCUUAGUAGGACAGCAAGACCACCUCGUCCUGCAGGAGCCCCAUUAUAGGCGGGGACCAGGAAAUACUAAGUCAGAAGAAGCUAGGAGAGGAGGUGGCUGUGAAUAUGUGUUUGCAGGGGACUGGGGGAGUGGAUCAUGCCUUCCAAGCUCCAAAUGAGAGCAUUCCCCAGAGGCCCACAGAAUCACCUGUUUGGGGGAUAUUUGACCUCUGAGGACAAAGCAGGAGAGUGUAUGACACCGAGGACAUCUGCAUGAAGUCCCCUUUGAAUGGAUGGAGAUGGAGACCCUCAAAGAAGGAAGGACUCCCCAUGGCCCUAAGCUGACAAACCACAGAACGAGGAUGACCACUCUGGGCUCCUGAUGUCCAGCACCUGUCCAUCUUUCAAGACCCUGCAGCUCCUUCGGCCUGCUGUGGGCACAGGGAAGGGACUCAGCUCAGAGACUGAGUCUCCUUACCACCCCAAGUCCCCGUGUCCCCUCAAAUGAGCCCUGAAGACAAGUGAAAGGAACUGGGGAGAAACCCCAAGCAGUCAAUACAUCAGCAGUGGGGCAGUGAGGCAACCCAACAGUGCAGCUGAAACCUCACAGCUGAAUCUCUGAGGUCCAGAGAGAGGGCAGAAACAGCUGCAUCUUGAAGAAGGAAGACCUAGGACAUCAAUCACAUGAACAUACCCAAGCCAAGAACGUGGCAGCAUGGACACAGAUCACAGUAAGCACGAAGCACCAUGGAUCCGGGCUCCUGGACACUUUCCCCAAGCCCUAAAUAGUCUACUGGAUGAUGUCCCAGCACUGCAGAUAAGGCAGCAGGGCAUGAUAUUCCAGGGAUUUGGGGCUCAGCAUGUGAAGGUAGAAAUAGAUCCAACCCUGCUCAUACCACAAGCUCAGAAGCAGAAGGUGGCAGCCUUGAAUGAAGAUCUCAUUUCAGAGUUCUUAGCUUAGCGCUGCCUUGGCCCAGGGCUGCAGCCUCUGGCCACCUCAGCACAGUCCCUCCCUGGCACCUGGUGGUGUGUAGGGGAACUUCUGUCCCUUCUCCCUCUUUUCCUAUCCCUCUCUUGUCCCUUCCUUCCUUUCUGGGUUCAAGGGCAAGCCCAGCCUCUCCCCAGCUCUUAGUUCAGUGGGACCCAGGGAGAUACUGCUGUGCAUCUCCCUGCCUCUAAGCCCCUGAGCGGAGGGAGAGACUCAUGUCUUCUCAUUCUUUCUUCACCACUAAUACCGCUUGUCCCCGGCCACCCAACAGCCCUGGACCGUGCAGACAUGACUCAGAAAUCAGGGGGAACAGUAAGAAACCAGCCUGGGAAUCCCCCAGCCUUUCUCACAAUCUCCCUCUCUGCACCCCAACCCUGGCUCUCUGUCUCAGCUGAUUAAACUCACUCUCAGAACCCCCUGGAGGCCCUUCCUUCUAGCUUCUCCAUCUGGCUUCAGGGAGGCCUCUGGCCCCCACUGCACUGAGGAAGAGACAGAGCCAUAACAAUGGACUGGAGGCUCCCACAGACCACCUGCUAAACUCUCACUCUUGUUGUCCAGAAUAUGCUCAUUGGCUAAAGACCUGAUUUUGUAACUCUCUUUCUAGAACUUUCCUCCUUUCCAGACCACUGGACCACAGUGGCCAUCCCCACUGUCAGAAAACUCAUCUCAUUUUCCAACUUUUCUCAAAUGCCUCUAUUCUUUCUUGUUCUGGGGAUUAGCAGGGUCUAACCGCCCCCCAAGUGAGGCUAUUCCUUAGCACCCCACCCCCAGCAAAAAUAAUUCCCAUCUUACCUCUUCUAAAACUUACAGUCCCAGCUCCUUGGGCCUGAGGCACAGAAAGAACACUUUCCUUCCAGCCAGUAAGUGGCAAAGAAGAGCAAACCUGGGCUUUUACCUUGUAGAAGCCCAGUGGAAGGCCCCACAGCUCUCCCCAGCCCCCUGAGCUUUGCUCUUUCUUCCCAGUGGACCCAAUGGCCCGGUGUCCUCAGUCAGGAAAAUCCCCAGCAGCCAACCUCUCCUCUCUCUGGCUUCCUGCUCUUCUUGUGUAACUCUCUCCAUUACACAUGGGUACACACACCCAGUCGUUGCAGGCCUUCUCUGGAGCUGUCCCCAACAGAACUCACAUUGGCUCCAGUGUCAGGGGCAGGACAUGCAAUGCCGGGUCUCUCUCUGUCUGGAGAGUGAGGCCAGAAAGGAGCAGAGGUAGAGAUUUUCUGCCAGCAGCAUGGAGAGGGGUCACAGCCCAGAACAGAAGCCAAUGCCUGCCCAUCACCUGCUGCUCGGCUCACGCACACACUGGAGUCCUGGGGUGCUUCAUUCUCACAGCCCGUAUCUGCUGUGGGGCUUACAGGACAGAAUGGGACAGCCCCCCAGAAGGCAUUGAGGCAUUUUCAUGGAAUUCAUGAAGAUGACCCAAACCUUUUUCCAGUGAGAAUAUAUGUCAUGGUCUUCAGGCCUCAAAGGGCUACUUCCUACAGGAAGGGCACAUCACCUGGCUGGUGGGUAGGAAGGGCUGGAAUAGGUGAGUGCCACGGUGGGAAGAGUAGCAACCGUUCUGACCCCAUCAUACCCAGUUACAUAAAGCUCCAGCUGACUUGGUAUAAACUAUGACUAAGAAAACUUUCCAAAGACAGUUGGUGGUCCUCCACCCCCCUGCAACUGGUGAGAACUACCCCCACAGAGAGCAGAGCAGAGAUUAGGGCUCCUAGCUCCAUGGCCCUGACUCAUCACACACACAAACACUCCCCAACACUUUUUCCCAAAAUGGUUCCCCUCCUACCCGUCCACCCUCCUACCCGGGCUGGGUGACAAAAAUGAACACCCCAGAGAUCUUGCCAAGUUCUGGGCCAGGCUGAGCCCAGGGAACAUAACAUUCUUCACAGAAUGAGGAAGCCAACUCUCCCACAGAAACAAAGUCCAUUCAAAGGAAAAUCACCACUGGCUGACCCUACUAUGGUCACUGCAUUGUUUCUCAAAUAGCUUGGACUACCUGCCCUCAAAAAAGAGCUCAAAGCGCUGAAAU